rnacentral:rRNA from 1 species
UACGGAGGGUGCAAGCGUUAUCCGGAUUCACUGGGUUUAAAGGGUGCGUAGGUGGGUUGGUAAGUCAGUGGUGAAAUCUCCGAGCUUAACUUGGAAACUGCCAUUGAUACUAUCAAUCUUGAAUAUUGUGGAGGUCAGCGGAAUAUGUCAUGUAGCGGUGAAAUGCUUAGAUAUGACAUAGAACACCAAUUGCGAAGGCAGCUCACUAAACUGUAACUGACGCUGAGGCACGAAAGCGUGGGGAUCAAACAGG